rnacentral:rRNA from 1 species
AACGAACGCUGGCGGCAUGCCUAACACAUGCAAGUCGAACGAGACCUUCGGGUCUAGUGGCGCACGGGUGCGUAACGCGUGGGAACCUGCCCUUAGGUUCGGAAUAACUCCCCGAAAGGGGUGCUAAUACCGGAUAAUGUCUUCGGACCAAAGAUUUAUCGCCUUUGGAUGGGCCCGCGUUGGAUUAGCUAGUUGGUAGGGUAAAAGCCUACCAAGGCGACGAUCCAUAGCUGGUCUGAGAGGAUGAUCAGCCACACUGGGACUGAGACACGGCCCAGACUCCUACGGGAGGCAGCAGUAGGGAAUAUUGGACAAUGGGCGAAAGCCUGAUCCAGCAAUGCCGCGUGAGUGAUGAAGGCCUUAGGGUUGUAAAGCUCUUUUACCCGGGAUGAUAAUGACAGUACCGGGAGAAGAAGCUCCGGCUAACUCCGUG